rnacentral:rRNA from 1 species
GACGAACGCUGGCGGCGUGCCUAAUACAUGCAAGUCGAGCGGACAGAAGGGAGCUUGCUCCCGGAAGUUAGCGGCGGACGGGUGAGUAACACGUGGGCAACCUACCCUGUAGAUCGGGAUAACAUCGAGAAAUCGGUGCUAAUACCGGAUAAUCAUUUGAAGUGCAUGCUUCGAAUGUAAAAGAUGGCUCCGGCUAUCACUACGGGAUGGGCCCGCGGCGCAUUAGCUAGUUGGUAAGGUAAUGGCUUACCAAGGCAACGAUGCGUAGCCGACCUGAGAGGGUGAUCGGCCACACUGGGACUGAGACACGGCCCAGACUCCUACGGGAGGCAGCAGUGGGGAAUCUUGCGCAAUGUGCGAAAGCGUGACGCAGCAACGCCGCGUGGGGGAAGAAGGCCUUCGGGUUGUAAACCCCUUUCAGGAGGGACGAAGCGUGGGCCGUUAAUAGCGGAUCCACGUGACGGUACCUCCAGAAGAAGCCCCGGCUAACUACGUGCCAGCCGCCGCGGUAAGAC